UAGUCCACGCCGUAAACGAUGAAUACUAGGUGUCGGGGAACAAUAGUUCUUCGGUGCCGCAGCAAACGCAUUAAGUAUUCCACCUGGGGAGUACGUUCGCAAGAAUGAAACUCAAAGGAAUUGACGGGGACCCGCACAAGCGGUGGAGCAUGUGGUUUAAUUCGAUGCAACGCGAAGAACCUUACCUGCUCUUGACAUCCCACUGACCGGACAGUAAUGUGUCCUUUUCUUCGGAACAGUGGUGACAGGUGGUGCAUGGUUGUCGUCAGCUCGUGUCGUGAGAUGUUGGGUUAAGUCCCGCAACGAGCGCAACCCUUGUCUUUAGUAGCCAGCAGUUCGGCUGGGCACUCUAGAGAGACUGCCAGGGAUAACCUGGAGGAAGGCGGGGAUGACGUCAAAUCAUCAUGCCCCUUACGAGCAGGGCUACACACGUGCUACAAUGGCGUAAACAAAGGGAAGCGACCCCGCGAGGGUAAGCAAAUCUCAAAAAUAACGUCUCAGUUCGGAUUGUAGUCUGCAACUCGACUACAUGAAGCUGGAAUCGCUAGUAAUCGCGAAUCAGAAUGUCGCGGUGAAUACGUUCCCGGGUCUUGUACACACCGCCCGUCACACCAUGGGAGUCGGAUAUGCCCGAAGUCAGUGACCCAACCAUAUGGAGGGAGCUGCCGAAGGUGGAGCCGAUAACUGGGGUGAAGUCGUAACAAGGUAGCCGUAUCGGAAGGUGCGGUUGGAUCACCUC
rnacentral:rRNA from 1 species